rnacentral:rRNA from 1 species
UACGGGGGGGGGCAAGCGUUGUUCGGAAUUACUGGGCGUAAAGGGCUCGUAGGUGGCCAACUAAGUCAGACGUGAAAUCCCUCGGCUUAACCGGGGAACUGCGUCUGAUACUGGAUGGCUUGAGUUCGGGAGAGGGAUGCGGAAUUCCAGGUGUAGCGGUGAAAUGCGUAGAUAUCUGGAGGAACACCGGUGGCGAAGGCGGCAUCCUGGACCGACACUGACGCUGAGGAGCGAAAGCCAGGGGAGCAA